GACGAACCGUGCGAACGUUGUUCGGAUUCACUGGGCUUAAAGGGUGCGUAGGCGGGUCUUUAAGUCAGGGGGGAAAUCCUGGAGCUCAACUCCAGAACUGCCUUUGAUACUGAGGAUCUUGAGUUCGGGAGAGGUGAGUGGAACUGCGAGUGUAGAGGUGAAAUUCGUAGAUAUUCGCAAGAACACCAGUGGCGAAGGCGGCUCACUGGCCCGAUACUGACGCUGAGGCACGAAAGCGUGGGGAGCAAACAGG
rnacentral:rRNA from 1 species